rnacentral:rRNA from 1 species
GACGAACGCUGGCGGCGUGCUUAACACAUGCAAGUCGAACGCUGAAGCUUGGUGCUUGCACUGGGUGGAUGAGUGGCGACCGGGUGAGUAAUACGUGAUUAACCUGCCCUUGACUCUGGGAUAAGCCUGGGAAACUGGGUCUAAUACUGGAUACGACAUGCCACUGCAUGGUGGUGUGUGGAAAGGGUUUUACUGGUUUUGGAUGGGCUCACGGCCUAUCAGCUUGUUGGUGGGGUAAUGGCCUACCAAGGCGACGACGGGUAGCCGGCCUGAGAGGGUGACCGGCCACACUGGGAAUGAGACACGGCCCAGACUCCUACGGGAGGCAGAAGUGGGGAAUAUUGCACAAGGGGCGGAAGCCUGAUGCAGCGACGCCGCGUGAGGGAUGAAGGCCUUCGGGUUGUAAACCUCUUUCAGCACGGAAGAAGCGAGAGUGACGGUACGUGCAGAAGAAGCGCCGGCUAACUACGUG